rnacentral:rRNA from 1 species
AGAGUUUGAUCCUGGCUCAGGAUGAACGCUGGCGGCGUGCUUAACACAUGCAAGUCGAACGAUCCUUCGGGAUAGUGGCGGACGGGUGAGUAACGCGUGGGAAUCUGCCCUCAGGAGGGGGAUAACGGCUGGAAACGGCCGCUAAUACCCCAUAUGCCGAGAGGUGAAAUGAAUUUCGCCUGAGGAUGAGCCCGCGUCUGAUUAGCUAGUUGGUGGGGUAAAGGCCUACCAAGGCAACGAUCAGUAGCUGGUCUGAGAGGAUGAUCAGCCGCACUGGGACUGAGACACGGCCCAGACUCCUACGGGAGGCAGCAGUGGGGAAUUUUCCGCAAUGGGCGAAAGCCUGACGGAGCAACGCCGCGUGAGGGAUGAAGGCCUCUGGGCUGUAAACCUCUUUUCUCAAGGAAGAAGACCUGACGGUACUUGAGGAAUAAGCCACGGCUAAUUCCGUGCCAGCAGCCGCGGUAAUACGGGAGUGGCAAGCGUUAUCCGGAAUUAUUGGGCGUAAAGCGUCCGCAGGCGGCCUUGUAAGUCUGUUGUUAAAGCGUGGAGCUCAACUCCAUUUAAGCAAUGGAAACUACAAGGCUGGAGUGUGGUAGGGGCAGAGGGAAUUCCCGGUGUAGCGGUGAAAUGCGUAGAUAUCGGGAAGAACACCAGUGGCGAAGGCGCUCUGCUGGGCCAUAACUGACGCUCAUGGACGAAAGCCAGGGGAGCGAAAGGGAUUAGAUACCCCUGUAGUCCUGGCCGUAAACGAUGAACACUAGGUGUCGGGGGAAUCGACCCCCUCGGUGUCGUAGCCAACGCGUUAAGUGUUCCGCCUGGGGAGUACGCACGCAAGUGUGAAACUCAAAGGAAUUGACGGGGGCCCGCACAAGCGGUGGAGUAUGUGGUUUAAUUCGAUGCAACGCGAAGAACCUUACCAGGGUUUGACAUCCUGCGAACCCCUGAGAAAUCGGGGGGUGCCUUCGGGAGCGCAGAGACAGGUGGUGCAUGGCUGUCGUCAGCUCGUGUCGUGAGAUGUUGGGUUAAGUCCCGCAACGAGCGCAACCCACGUCUUUAGUUGCCAGCAUUCAGUUGGGCACUCUAGAGAGACCGCCGGUGAUAAACCGGAGGAAGGUGUGGAUGACGUCAAGUCAUCAUGCCCCUUACAUCCUGGGCUACACACGUACUACAAUGCUACGGACAAAGGGCAGCAAGCUCGCGAGAGUUAGCAAAUCCCAUAAACCGUGGCUCAGUUCAGAUCGUAGGCUGCAACUCGCCUACGUGAAGGAGGAAUCGCUAGUAAUCGCAGGUCAGCAUACUGCGGUGAAUACGUUCCCGGGCCUUGUACAUACCGCCCGUCACACCAUGGAAGUUGGCCAUGCCCG